AGAGUUUGAUCCUGGCUCAGAGCGAACGUUAGCGGCGCGCCUAACACAUGCAAGUCGAACGAGAAAGCGGGGGCAACCUCGUGAGUAAAGUGGCGUACGGGUGAGUAACACGUGGGUAAUCUACCCUUUAGUGGGGAAUAACGCUGGGAAACUGGCGAUAAUACCGCAUAAUCCCGAGAGGGGAAAGCAGCAAUGCGCUGAAGGAGGAGCCCGCGGCCGAUUAGCUAGUUGGUGGGGUAAAGGCCUACCAAGGCAAAGAUCGGUAGCCGGCCUGAGAGGGCACACGGCCACACUGGCACUGAAACACGGGCCAGACUCCUACGGGAGGCAGCAGUGGGGAAUCUUGCACAAUGGGGGAAACCCUGAUGCAGCGACGCCGCGUGAGCGAUGAAGCCCUUCGGGGUGUAAAGCUCUUUCGGCAGGGACGAUAAUGACGGUACCUGCAGAAGCAGCUGCGGCUAACUACGUGCCAGCAGCCGCGGUAAUUC
rnacentral:rRNA from 1 species